rnacentral:rRNA from 1 species
GGAAGGUAUAGCAAUAGCUAAUUGUAUUAACAAAUGGUUUUUACAAUAUCGAUUUAAUCGACUAAAAUUCUAGGUAGAUUUAUGAUGAUGACAUUAUCUAUCUAUGUGUCUUGACCAAAUUACGUGCCAGCAGUCGCGGUAAGACGUAAGAGACUAGUGUUAUUCAUCUUUAAUAGGUUUAAAGCGUACCUAGACGGUGAUUAAAGCCUAGAUCAGGAACUUGUUUACUAGAGUUAUAUGUAAGGGUGUAUUAAAGUACUGUUGAGUGUAGAGAUGAAAUUCGUUGAUACCAAAUAAUUGGCACAGGUAUAGGCGAAAGCAUCACUUUAUGUAAUAACUGACGUUGACGGACGAAGGCUUUGUGUCGCGAACAGGAUUAGAUACCCCAGUAGUCUUAGCAGAAAAUUAUGAGUGUCAUAGGUUAGAUUUUAUCUGGUCUAUAAAUGAAAGUGUAAGCACUCCACCUCAAGAGUAAUUUGGCAACAUUGGAACUGAAAUCAUUAGACCGUUUCUGAAACCAGUAGUGAAGUAUGUUGUUUAAUUUGAUGAUCCGCAAAGAACCUUACCACAAUUUGAAUAUAAAUGAUUUAUUUUUACAAGCGUUGCACGGCUGUCUUCAGUUAAUGUCGUGAGAUAUUGGUUUAUUCCAUUAAAUUAACGUAAACCCGUACUUUAUUUUUAUAUAAAGUUUUUCAUUCGCUAUAAUGGAUGUGAUAACAGGGACUAAGACAAGUCAUCAUGGC